ensembl:lncRNA
CGCAUCUAUCCGCAGAUUAUUGGCACGAGUGUCGCAGGAUAAUGUGUUUGCUGCAGAUGCCAUUUGAAAAUAUAGGCAGUGUAAGCACUGUAGAAUCUAAUUAUUUCUUUGCAAAACCUAAUUAGGCAUUAAAAAAGGUUAACGCCAGCGCCUGAAACGUUUUUGUUUAAUAAUCCCAUUACUGACGGCUCAUCAUGUAUAAAAUGGUGCAGGAGGACUCUAAGUUUCCACUUGUUAAAGGGAAUCUCUGAGAAAUAGUCGCAGACUUUUUGACACUAUCUGCGAUUGGGAAUUAGGGCUUGUAAUUAAACUGCGGGGACUCAACUCAGCACACAGAAACUCACAGAACGGCGAGAACAGAACUUGAUGAUCCUUUGUUUUUUUAAGCGUCAGCUCUUCUGGAGCCAUUACCAGUCACUAGAGAGAUCAAGCGCUUCCUACCAGGGAGGGAGUGUGAUGCUAACAAUGGGCCUGGAGCCAAAACCUAUUGACACAGAAGGCAGAGGGAAUCUACCAGAAAGCUGACUUUUUGAAGACGUGGCCCCGCUGACCCGAGCUAUCACGGCGCUGUGGAGACGACUGGGCCGCCCUGUCCGGAGUCCAACCCCCCCCCCACCCCACGGGGGCCAAAGGGCAGAGUCCGAGGCCCGGGAAUGCCACCACCAGCUGCUGGCGGUGACACCGGUCACAAAGAGGGCUUGGUGAGCAAUGCUUCUUUCUGUGGGUUGUCAGCGUUGUGACAGUGCUGGCUUGACAUUUAUUUACUCUCUCUGGACCCCCAAACGGUCAGUUUGGUUUAAAUAGUGAGCCACCGAGUUGAAUGUGCUUCUAACAUCUCGGACCGUUACUGUAAAUCUUUGGAAUUAAACUCCAGCAGCUUAUUUGCUAAAGUCGUUUUCUAUGUUUUUUUGGAUCAGUUAUUUUUCAUAUGAAAGUAAAAAGGACACAUUAUGGUUUCACCGUUUGACCGCUUGGACUGCUGAUCUGGACCAAAAUCCAAGUUUGACUUAUGCAAAAUAUAUAUAUAUAUAUAUAUAUAAUUUGUUGUUGUUGCCAGGCAUAUGUACAACACCAGGUCUGAGGAUAGCAUGAAAAUAAUAGAAUUCCUCACUUAUAACUCCAGACCUGAUGAUUAAAAGUCUUCAAUAUUGGUAUAACAACACCUAUAAUAAAUUAAAAAACAAUUAAAACUGUAUUUUUUUCCAAUUAGAAAGAACAAAAGGAAUAUUCCCAACCCGGCAAACCCAAACUGUCUCAUUGAUGUUGCAUAACAACAAAUAAAUCAAUGACAAGUUAAAUGAACCCCUGGAACCGGCUGCUUUGUACCCAAAAUAUCAAUGUUGGUAACCAAUCCACUAAGGCUUUUUUAAUGGGAUUAGAUUGAAAUGAAUGCACGCAUAUUAAAUAAAAUAGUUUUAACCAGGACAUCUUUUGCAAGUGUUUCAACAAAAUAUUAAUAUAUUAAAAACUUACCAUGUCCAAAUGUGUUCUUGUCUAUUGGGUUUAAACUGAUUUCUGACGCAUUAUUAAACGCACAAUGAAAUUAUAGCCAUUAUUACAACACAUACAUAAUAAGUGGUAAUAAUGCUUCUCCAGUGACACCUCAUUUCGCGUUUAUUGACGAUAAUGUGAGUAACGCCAUCACAAAUGUUUUGUAAACUCGUUCAAACCAACACGAACACGAGCGCUUAAUGUUGAUCGCCAUGCGGUCACGGCAGGUUGAGGGUCUAGCUUUUAGAAACUAGAUCCUUCAGCCCACGUCCCGACGCUCUUAAAUUCAAACGUUUGUCUUUGCGCACAGCGCCGCGCGGUUAACACUGGCCCCAUUACGCGAUGUCGUUUGUGCCUCUCGGUGUUAUUUGGACAAUGUUUGGCCGUUUACCCGGCCUGCGUCUGCGCGCUCAGAGGAGGUCUCGACAGAAAUUGAUACUAAUUGCGCGGACUGUACACUGCUGGCUGGUGGAGCGCCUGCAGGCAGUUGGAGGACCUGCUUGUCACCGCCUAAUUUGACAAGGGCUUGUCUGUCCUGGGAGCAGCUGGUCCUAAGCACUGGCGCACAAUCGCUAUCCUGACACGGCCUCCACCCGCCCGAAGGAGUUUCGAGGGGAAAAACGCCGUUAAAGGGGAGAUUUAUUGAAUCUCCCCUUUGGGUGAUGCUGUAUUAAGUACAGGCAAUAUAGGCUCAUUUCCACGGGUGCAAAAGGGGAGCCCCGCUCCUCGGUAUUAAUAACAGAAGGAGCCAAUUAGGGGUGGACAGGUGACUUUUUGGCAUUAUGAAUCACCGCAAACGAGGCGUUGCGCGCGGGGUGGAUGAACGCUAUAUGGGUGCAGCGCUGUUCUGGAGUCGGUUUCGAGGAAUCCUUACUUCUCGCGUGCUGCGCGACACACAAUGGGGCGAUGUGCGUAAAUCGGAUGAAUGCAGGGUGUGUGUGUGUGUGUGUGUGUGUGUGUUGCGCCAGACAUUCAGCCGGCUCCCACGCCCCGGCACAAAUGACAUCAACACUCACAGUAAACAUAAUCAAUUCACUAUUCUGCCCUGUUUCUAUUAGUCCGCGUCUUUUAUAGCUGAAUGCAUCAAGAGGGGAGGGGGGGGGGGGGGGGUUUCCUGCACUUUCCCACUGCCUGUAAAGAAACGCUGCUUUUCGGAGCCUUUUGAACUGAAAAUCGUGAUUUUCUUUCCCCCUGGUGUUCUCCGGACGCGCUCUUUUCUUUCUGCGGAACAAUGACAACACUGGAGCGCCCCGCCGGUGCGCCACAGUUGGGGAUCCCCCGGAUUGUUUUGGACAUCUUUGGAUUUCAUCAAUCAAAAUGACUGCAGUUUUCCAUAAAAAUGCUGAAUUUGGUGCUGGAACCGAGCGGGCAAGAGCUUCCUGGCUGCGAUUGGCCGGCUGUCUGGGCAGUGAUAGCAGCCCUGGAGCCGAGGAUGAUUGAUGACGGCGAGGGCAAGACCGAGCGCUGGCAGCAUAAAGCCACAUCGACGCCUCAAUAAAGAGCCUGGCUAGUGGAGAGCCUGGGCCCCGCUCAAUAGGGCCCCUUUCGCCUCCGAGGACCCACGGCCAGAGGACUACAUGGAGGGAGAGAGAGAGAGAGAGAGAGAGAGAGAGAGAAGGAAAGGUACUCUGUUGUUAGAUAAUCUGUUUAGCUAUCGAGCCAGCAGCCGUCUGAGGCUGGAUAAGUGCAGCGACGGAUGUGUGUGGGGUGAAAAUAGCAGGGGUUGGCUGGUGGAGUGCUGGAGGGGUGUGAGGGGGGGGGGAUGUGGAGAGGGAGAAAAAGAGAGGGAGAGAUGGAUCAUCCAGUCUCAGGAUUUAUAAUGGUGGAUGAGGGGUGGGGGGUGGGAUCUGCAGAAUGCUUUUCACACGAGCUGGAAAAGAUCCCCAAAAGUUGACCGCGAGAAAGUGAUUCUGCUGCUGCUGCUGCUGCUGCCGCCAGUCAGCCUACAGAUUCAGGACUGUCGUGACCUCUGCUUCAGCAGAUCAAUGAGACCCUGUUGGGUUGGAUUCCACCGGUGCAGCGUCCACCGCUGUGGCCCCGGUCCGCAGGCCUCCCUGCGGUAACCUCCCCCCCCCCUCCCCCUCCAGUGCACAGCGGCUCUGAAAAGCACAAUUAGGCAGCAAUCUGCUCCCACCAAGCCAGCUUUCAGUGACUCCAGCAUGGAGACACGGUGUCCUGCAGACCCUCCCUGGCUGGAGUUGGCAGGACGGAGGUCUGAGAGUGAUGGCCUGGUCAGCGUCGUCACCCUGCAGGGAGCACGGAGUUCAAGGAGGAGAAGUUGUUUUGUAUCCGUGGCAAUGUGUUGCACUUACUUAAUCAGAUUUGCUGACUGACUCAGACAAAAAUAAAGCAUUUGAACAAAAUGAAACAAGAGGCUGUAAUUGUUUUUCUAUCAAAGCUAAAAUGUAAUAAUUUUUUGCAACGCUUUGUUGUAAUGAG